CUUAUCAAGAGAGGUGGAGGGACAGGCCCUAAGAUACCCAGCAACCGAUAUAUAUUUUAUAUAAAAAGGUGCUAAAUCCUGCAGCGAAGGCUGAAAGAUGAGA
rnacentral:ncRNA from 1 species